UCCCUGGUGGUCCAGUGGCUAAGACACCACACUUCCAAUGCCGAGGACCCAGGUUUGAUCCCUGGUCAGGGAA
rfam:TPA: Bos taurus chromosome 10, whole genome shotgun sequence.